rnacentral:rRNA from 1 species
UACGGGGGGAGCAAGCGUUGUGCGGAUUUACUGGGCGUAAAGGGCGCGUAGGCGGCCAGCGCAAGUCAGUUGUGAAAUCUCCGGGCUUAACUCGGAACGGUCAACUGAUACUGCGCGGCUAGAGUGCAGAAGGGGCAACUGGAAUUCUCGGUGUAGCGGUGAAAUGCGUAGAUAUCGAGAGGAACACCUGCGGCGAAGGCGGGUGCUGGGCUGACACUGACGCUGAUGCGCGAAAGCCAGGGGAGCGAACGGG